UCUGCACAUGCACAGACGGACAGCACAUUCAAAGAUCACUCUUCAGCGAUCGGCGCCAUUUUUGAAUCAGACGAAGAUCACAGUGCCAAACGAGGAACGUUUUCUUUGUGGAAACACAGAGUUGUAGAGUCCUACAUGUGGCUGUGCAGAGAUUGUGGUUCCUCUCACACAUCCAGAUCAAAUCCAGCACUCUUUGUAGAGCAAUAGUUGGUUUACAACAAUCCCUUUGGUCUCCAAAUAUAUGGGACUGCUCGAUCAUUUCUCAAACCAAAGAAAGGAGCAGCAGCACAGAAGAUCACAUACAUCCUGUCAGUUAUGGCUCAGAAUGUUUCCAUCGGCAAAAAAUGUGUAUGCAUCCUGAAAGCCCUGGCUGUCUGCCUGAAGGAAGACCCCUCAAGCCUUGUGAAGGAGUACAUGAAUGUUGAACAUGUUGAAGCCCUAACCUCAAUGCGCAACACCACGCUGGGAAUCUAUGUCAUCAUACAGAUGCUACAGGCCU